CCUACGGGGGGCAGCAGUGGGGAAUAUUGCACAAUGGGGGAAACCCUGAUGCAGCGACGCCGCGUGAGUGAAGAAGUAUUUCGGUAUGUUAAGCUCUAUUUGUAGGGAAGUAAAUGACGGUACCUGACUAAGAAGCCCCGGCUAACUACGUGCCAGCAGCCGCGGUAAUACGUAGGGGGCAAGCGUUAUCCGGAUUUACUGGGUGUAAAGGGAGCGUAGACGGCAGCGCAAGUCUGGCGUGAAAUCCCAUGGCUUAACCAUGGAACUGCUUUGGAAACUGUGCAGCUAGAGUGCAGGAGAGGUAGGCGGAAUUCGUAGUGUAGCGGUGAAAUGCUUAGAUAUUAGGAAGAACACCGAUGGCGAAGGCGGCUUACUGGACUGUAACUGACGUUGAGGCUCGAAAGCGUGGGUAGCAAACAGGAUUAGAUACCCGGGUAGUC
rnacentral:rRNA from 1 species